rnacentral:ncRNA from 2 species
AUUCACUGCUGGGGGAGCUUUACAGGCUGAGAAAGGAAAAUCCUAAACCCUUGGAACCUGAUCUGAUUAAUGUCAGCGUAGGGAAGCAGCCGGCAUGGCCU